GGGUUGUGAGGUUAAGCGACUAAGCGUACACGGUGGAUGCCCUGGCAGUCAGAGGCGAUGAAGGACGUGCUAAUCUGCGAAAAGCGUCGGUAAGGUGAUAUGAACCGUUAUAACCGGCGAUGUCCGAAUGGGGAAACCCAGUGUGAUUCGUCACACUAUCGUUAACUGAAUACAUAGGUUAACGAGGCGAACCGGGGGAACUGAAACAUCUAAGUACCCCGAGGAAAAGAAAUCAACCGAGAUUCCCCCAGUAGCGGCGAGCGAACGGGGAGCAGCCCAGAGUCUGAAUCAGCUUGUGUGUUAGUGGAACGGUCUGGAAAGUCCGACGGUACAGGGUGAUAGUCCCGUACACCAAAAUGCACAGGCUGUGAACUCGAAGAGUAGGGCGGGACACGUGGUAUCCUGUCUGAAUAUGGGGGGACCAUCCUCCAAGGCUAAAUACUCCUGACUGACCGAUAGUGAACCAGUACCGUGAGGGAAAGGCGAAAAGAACCCCGGCGAGGGGAGUGAAAAAGAACCUGAAACCGUGUACGUACAAGCAGUGGGAGCACCUUCGGGUGUGACUGCGUACCUUUUGUAUAAUGGGUCAGCGACUUAUAUUCUGUAGCAAGGUUAACCGUAUAGGGGAGCCGCAGGGAAACCGAGUCUUAACUGGGCGUUAAGUUGCAGGGUAUAGACCCGAAACCCGGUGAUCUAGCCAUGGGCAGGUUGAAGGUUGGGUAACACUAACUGGAGGACCGAACCGACUAAUGUUGAAAAAUUAGCGGAUGACUUGUGGCUGGGGGUGAAAGGCCAAUCAAACCGGGAGAUAGCUGGUUCUCCCCGAAAGCUAUUUAGGUAGCGCCUCGUGAACUCAUCUUCGGGGGUAGAGCACUGUUUCGGCUAGGGGGUCAUCCCGACUUACCAACCCGAUGCAAACUACGAAUACCGAAGAAUGUUAUCACGGGAGACACACGGCGGGUGCUAACGUCCGUCGUGAAGAGGGAAACAACCCAGACCGCCAGCUAAGGUCCCAAAGUCAUGGUUAAGUGGGAAACGAUGUGGGAAGGCACAGACAGCCAGGAUGUUGGCUUAGAAGCAGCCAUCAUUUAAAGAAAGCGUAAUAGCUCACUGGUCGAGUCGGCCUGCGCGGAAGAUGUAACGGGGCUAAACCAUGCACCGAAGCUGCGGCAGCGACACUAUGUGUUGUUGGGUAGGGGAGCGUUCUGUAAGCCUGCGAAGGUGACCUGUGAGGGUUGCUGGAGGUAUCAGAAGUGCGAAUGCUGACAUAAGUAACGAUAAAGCGGGUGAAAAGCCCGCUCGCCGGAAGACCAAGGGUUCCUGUCCAACGUUAAUCGGGGCAGGGUGAGUCGACCCCUAAGGCGAGGCCGAAAGGCGUAGUCGAUGGGAAACAGGUUAAUAUUCCUGUACUUGGUGUUACUGCGAAGGGGGGACGGAGAAGGCUAUGUUAGCCGGGCGACGGUUGUCCCGGUUUAAGCAUGUAGGCUGAUUGUCCAGGCAAAUCCGGAUAAUCAAGGCUGAGGUGUGAUGACGAGGCACUACGGUGCUGAAGUAACAAAUGCCCUGCUUCCAGGAAAAGCCUCUAAGCAUCAGGUAACAUCAAAUCGUACCCCAAACCGACACAGGUGGUCAGGUAGAGAAUACCAAGGCGCUUGAGAGAACUCGGGUGAAGGAACUAGGCAAAAUGGUGCCGUAACUUCGGGAGAAGGCACGCUGGUGUGUAGGUGAAGUCCCUGCGGAUGGAGCUGAGACCAGUCGAAGAUACCAGCUGGCUGCAACUGUUUAUUAAAAACACAGCACUGUGCAAACACGAAAGUGGACGUAUACGGUGUGACGCCUGCCCGGUGCCGGAAGGUUAAUUGAUGGGGUUAUCCGUAAGGAGAAGCUCUUGAUCGAAGCCCCGGUAAACGGCGGCCGUAACUAUAACGGUCCUAAGGUAGCGAAAUUCCUUGUCGGGUAAGUUCCGACCUGCACGAAUGGCGUAAUGAUGGCCAGGCUGUCUCCACCCGAGACUCAGUGAAAUUGAACUCGCUGUGAAGAUGCAGUGUACCCGCGGCAAGACGGAAAGACCCCGUGAACCUUUACUAUAGCUUGACACUGAACAUUGAGCCUUGAUGUGUAGGAUAGGUGGGAGGCUUUGAAGCGUGGACGCCAGUCUGCGUGGAGCCAACCUUGAAAUACCACCCUUUAAUGUUUGAUGUUCUAACGUUGGCCCCUUACCGGGGUUGCGGACAGUGUCUGGUGGGUAGUUUGACUGGGGCGGUCUCCUCCCAAAGCGUAACGGAGGAGCACGAAGGUUAGCUAAUCCUGGUCGGACAUCAGGAGGUUAGUGCAAUGGCAUAAGCUAGCUUGACUGCGAGCGUGACGGCGCGAGCAGGUGCGAAAGCAGGUCAUAGUGAUCCGGUGGUUCUGAAUGGAAGGGCCAUCGCUCAACGGAUAAAAGGUACUCCGGGGAUAACAGGCUGAUACCGCCCAAGAGUUCAUAUCGACGGCGGUGUUUGGCACCUCGAUGUCGGCUCAUCACAUCCUGGGGCUGAAGUAGGUCCCAAGGGUAUGGCUGUUCGCCAUUUAAAGUGGUACGCGAGCUGGGUUUAGAACGUCGUGAGACAGUUCGGUCCCUAUCUGCCGUGGGCGCUGGAGAAUUGAGGGGGGCUGCUCCUAGUACGAGAGGACCGGAGUGGACGCAUCACUGGUGUUCGGGUUGUCAUGCCAAUGGCACUGCCCGGUAGCUAAAUGCGGAAGAGAUAAGUGCUGAAAGCAUCUAAGCACGAAACUUGCCCCGAGAUGAGUUCUCCCUGAGACUUUAAGUCUCCUGAAGGAACGUUGAAGACGACGACGUUGAUAGGCCGGGUGUGUAAGCGCAGCGAUGCGUUGAGCUAACCGGUACUAAUGAACCGUGAGGCUUAACCUUACAACGCCGAAG
rnacentral:rRNA from 2 species